ACCUUGGCAGCUCAGUUGGCAGAGCAUGACACUCUUCAUCUCAGAGUUAUGGGUUCAAGCCUCAUGUUGGGCA